UUCAAUUUUUUUUUUUUUUUUUUUUUUGAUGACAUGGGAACCUGCAGCGCCUACCCUUCGGAUGCGCACAGUGUAAACCCAGCUUCUGUGCAAUAGCUGCAAACCAUUAUUGACAUUUGAUUUAGAGUCUAUGUGCAAUUUAGACAAUUUGGUUAUUUUUUAAGUUUAAUUGGAGUUUAGUACAUUCAAUAAUGGUAAAGAGUCUGGGCUAAUUGGUGAUCUAAAGAUCUGCAUUGUUGUUCGGUUUAGUUGUUUCUUCUGCUGGCUUUACUUUUAGGUCUCAGUUAAUCAAUAUUUUGGCAAAAAGUUUUGUUAAUUGCUUCUUAAUUUCUGUUUAUAAUGGCACUAAAUUUGGGAAAUGGAAGUUACAUGUAAUAUAUUGUGGAGUUUUUCUUGGAUAGUAGUAAAGUUUGGAACUUUGGGCUAGAUAGUUAACUUAUAGAUAGCCCUUGUUGAGAAAACUCGGUUAUCUUUUUUAGUUUAAUUGGAGUUCAGUAAAUUCAAUAAUGUUGGCCAAUUGGUGAUCUGAAGAUCUGCAUUGUUGUUGGGGUUUAGUUGUUUCUAAUUCUGGUAUUACUUCUAGUUUGCAAAUAGUCAAUGUUUUGGUAAAGAGUUUUGUGAAUUAAAGUAGGUUCUUCUAUUUUCGGUUUACGGUGGCCCUAAAUUUGGGAAAUGAAAGUUACAUGUAAUGUAUUUUGUGGAGUUCCGCUUGGAUAGUAGUAAAGUUUGGAAAUUUUGGCUAGUUAUUUAAUUUAGGGAUAGCCCUUGUUGAGAAGUAUACGGUCUGUUGAAACAUUCCAUAAGGACUGCUGAAGUUAGACAAAAAAAUUAGACAUUCCAUGUCCUCGGAGAGUGCUUUGUCGUGCUAUGAGACUGGCGUGCUAUCCCGGUGAACAAUUUUCCAUGGAAAGCCGUUUUUUGGGUUAUCUUUUUUGGUUUAAUUGGAGUUAUGUAAAUUCAACAGUGUUCGGCUCGUUGGUGAUCUAAAGACCUACAUUAUUGUUGGGGUUUAGUUGUUUCUAGUGCUGGCUAUACUUUUAGCUUGCGAAUAGUUGAUAUUGUGGUAAAACGUUCGGUAAAUUGAAGUGGGUUCUUCUUAAUUUCAGCUUAUGAUUGUCCUAAUAUUUUAAUCUUAAAAAAAAAUUGGGAAAUGGAAGUUAGAUGUAAUGUAUUGUGGAGUUCAGCUUGGAUACUAAAGUUUGGAACUUUGGGCUAGAUAGCUAACUUAUAGACAGCCCUUGUUGAGAAAACUCGGUUGUCCUUUUUAGUUUAAUUGGAGUUCAGUAUAUUCAAAAAUGUUCGCCAAUUGGUGAUCUAAAGAUCUGCAUUUUUGUUGGGGUUUAGUUGUUUCUAGUGCUGGCUUUACUUUUAGCUUGCGAAUAGUCGAUAUUGUGGUAAAGAGUUCUGUAAAUUGAAGUGGGUUCUUCUUAAUUUUGGUUUAUGAUGGCCCUAAAUUUGGGAAAUGGAAGUUACAUGUAAUUUAUUGUGGAGUUCAGCUUGGAUAGUAGUAAAGUUUGGAACUUUUGGGCUUAGAUUGUUAACUUAUAGAUAGCCUUGUUGAGAAAACUCGGUUAUCUUUUUAGUUUAAUUAGAGUUCAUUAAAUUCAACGAUGUUUGCUAAUUGGUGAUCUAAAGAUCUGCAUUGUUGUUGGGGUUGAGUUGUUUCUAAUGCUGGUUUUACUUUUAGCUCUCAAUUAAUCAAUAUUUUGGUAAAAAGUAUCGUAAAUUGAAGUGGGUCUUCUUAUUUUCGGUUUAUGAUGGCCCUAAAUUUGGGAAAUGAAAAUUAGAUGUAAUGUAUUGUGGAGUUCCGCUUGGAUAGUACUAAAGUUUGGAACUUUGAGCUAGAUAGUUAACUUAUACAUACCUUGUUGAGAAAACUCGGUUAUCUUUUUUAGUUUAAUUGGAGUUCGGUAAAUUCAAUAAUGUUGGCUAAUUGGUGAUCUAAAGAUCUGCAUGGUUGUUGGUUUUAGUUGUUUCUAAUGCUGGUUGUACUUUUAGUUUGCAAAUAGCCAAUGUUUUGGUAAAGAGUUUUGUGAAUUGAAGUGGAUUCUUCUUAUUUUCGGUUUACGACGGCCCUAAAUUUGGGAAAUGGAAGUUACAUGUCAUGUGUUGUGGAGUUCAUCUUGGAUAGUAGUAAAGCUUGCAACUUUGGGCUAGAUAGUUAAUUUAUAGACAGCCCUUGUUGAGAAAUGUAUGGCAUUGUGGAUAUCUGUUGAAACAUUCCUUAAGGGACAGCUGAAGUUAGACCAAGAAAUUAGACAUUCCAUGCCUCGGAGAGUGCUCUGUCGUGCUAGGAGACUGGCCUUCUAUCCCGGUGAACAGUGUUCCAUAGAAAACUGUUUUUCGUUUAUCCUUUUUGGUUUAAUCGGAAUUUAGUAAAUUCAACAAUGUUCACUAGUUGGUGAUCUAAAGAUCUACAUUGUUGUUGGGCUUACUUGUUUCUAGUGCUGGCUUUACUUUUAGCUUGCGAAUAGUCAAUAUUUUGGUAAAGAGUACUGUAAAUUGAAGUGGGUUCUUCUUAAUUUUGGUUUAUGAAGGCCCUAAACUUGAGAAAUGAAAGUUACAUGUAAUGUGUUGGGGAUUUCAGCUUCGAUAGUAGUAAAGUUUUGAACUUUGGGCUAGAUAGUUAAUUUAUAGAUAACACUUGUUGAGAACUGUGUGGCACUGUGGAUAGCUUUUGAAACAUUCCUUAAGGGAUUGCCGAAGUUAUGAGAUUUAGUGUACAUUACUCACCUGAUAUGUGCUGGCCUGCUGGGAAGUUGGUAUAAUAUGUGAAGGAAAUGAGUGACUUUGAUUUGAUUUGUGUUGUGCUGGAGAAUGGGUGUAAUAUAACAGAAAUGAGUGGCUUGGAUUUGAUUUGUUUUAGUUGUAAUGAUAUAAUGUACGUGUUCCAGUACUAAUUGAAAAGAUGGUAUUUUGAAACCUUUGGUCACGAUAUUGGUGCAAGUUGGUAAAACCAAAGCUAGUAUAGCAUGGGUGUCUCAAGCAAAUGGAUUAGAGCACUGGUUGGUUUAAAGAAACCAGAAAAGUCUCAUUCUUCAGAAAAAGAUGAAAAUAAAUCAGGAGGGACUGGAAAGUUUUGGCACCGGAGAAAACACUCUGUUGAGAUCGAUUCCAACCAACUUCAAAAGGAGCUAACUUAU